ACGGGGUGCAGCAGGCGCGAAACCUUCACAAUGUGCGAAAGCGCGAUGAGGGGAUCCCAAGUGCUUGCUCGUAAGAGUAAGCUGUUUUUAUGUCUAAAAAGCAUAGAGAGUAAGGGCUGGGUAAGACGGGUGCCAGCCGCCGCGGUAAUACCUGCAGCUCAAGUAGUGACCGCUAUUAUUGGGCCUAAAACGUUCGUAGCCGGUUUGAUAAAUGCCUGGGUAAAUUGUGUAGCUUAACUAUACGAAUACCGGGUAGACUGCUAAACUUGGGACCGGGAGAGGCUAGAGGUACUCCUGGGGUAGAGGUGAAAUUCUGUAAUCCUAGGGGGACCACCAGUGGCGAAGGCGUCUAGCUAGAACGGGUCUGACGGUGAGGGACGAAGCCCUGGGGCGCAAACCGGAUUAGAUACCCGGGUAGUCCAGGGUGUAAACGCUGCUUGCUUGAUGUUAGUUGGGCUCCGAGCCCAACUAGUGUCGGAGAGAAGUUGUUAAGCAAGCUGCCUGGGAAGUACGUCGCAAGAC
rnacentral:rRNA from 1 species